GUUUAUGGCCAGAGCACCCUGAACGUGCUCGAUCUCAGAAGCUAAGCAGGGUAGGGCCUGGUUAGUACUGAGAUGGGAGAUAGUACUCUUUUCUGUCUGGCUUAAUUC
rnacentral:rRNA from 1 species